AGGGGUGCUGAGCCAAUAGGCGACGCUGAGAUUAUACCCGUACAACCUGAUGCAGGUAAUGCUGCCGGAGGGAAUAUACGU
rnacentral:ncRNA from 1 species